AGUGAACGCUGGCGGUAGGCCUAACACAUGCAAGUCGAACGGCAGCACAGUAAGAGCUUGCUCUUGCGGGUGGCGAGUGGCGGACGGGUGAGGAAUACAUCGGAAUCUACUUUUUCGUGGGGGAUAACGUAGGGAAACUUACGCUAAUACCGCAUACGACCUACGGGUGAAAGCAGGGGAUCUUCGGACCUUUCGCGAUUGAAUGAGCCGAUGUCGGAUUAGCUAGUUGGCGGGGUAAAGGCCCACCAAGGCGACGAUCCGUAGCUGGUCUGAGAGGAUGAUCAGCCACACUGGAACUGAGACACGGUCCAGACUCCUACGGGAGGCAGCAGUGGGGAAUAUUGGACAAUGGGCGCAAGCCUGAUCCAGCCAUACCGCGUGGGUGAAGAAGGCCUUCGGGUUGUAAAGCCCUUUUGUUGGGAAAGAAAAGCAGCAGGUUAAUACCCCGCUGUUCUGACGGUACCCAAAGAAUAAGCACCGGCUAACUUCGUG
rnacentral:rRNA from 1 species